rnacentral:rRNA from 1 species
UACGUAGGGCGCAAGCGUUGUCCGGAAUCAUUGGGCGUAAAGAGCUCGUAGGCGGCCUGUCGCGUCUGCUGUGAAAUCCCGGGGCUCAACCCCGGGCGUGCAGUGGAUACGGGCUGGCUAGAGGCAGGCAGGGGAGAACGGAAUUCCCGGUGUAGCGGUGAAAUGCGCAGAUAUCGGGAGGAACACCGGUGGCGAAGGCGGUUCUCUGGGCCUUACCUGACGCUGAGGAGCGAAAGCGUGGGGAGCGAACGGG